GUGCCAGCCGCUGCGGUAAUACGUAGGGGCAAGCGUUGUCCGGAAUUAUUGGGCGUAAAGCGCGCGCAGGCGGUGACUUAAGUUUGGUGUUUAAGCCCAGGGCUCAACCCUGGUACGCACUGAAAACUGGGUGACUUGAGUACAGAAGAGGAAAGUGGAAUUCCACGUGUAGCGGUGAAAUGCGUAGAGAUGUGGAGGAACACCAGUGGCGAAGGCGACUUUCUGGUCUGUAACUGACGCUGAGGCGCGAAAGCGUGGGAGCAAACAGGAUUAGAUACCCUGGUAGUCCACGCCGUAAACGAUGAAUGCUAGGUGUUAGGGUCACGAAACCCUUAGUGCCGAAGUUAACACAUUAAG
rnacentral:rRNA from 1 species